rnacentral:rRNA from 1 species
UAAGCAUAUCAAUAAGCGGAGGAAAAGAAACCAACAGGGAUUGCCUUAGUAACUGCGAGUGAAGCGGCAAAAGCUCAAAUUUGAAAUCUGGCGUCUUCGACGUCCGAGUUGUAAUUUGGAGAGACAUCUUCGGAGUAGACGCCGUCCUAAGUUCCUUGGAACAGGACGUCACAGAGGGUGAGAAUCCCGUGCCUGGAUGGCUGUUCUACUUCAUGUGAAGUGUCUUCGACGAGUCGAGUUGUUUGGGAAUGCAGCUCAAAAUGGGAGGUAAAUUUCUUCUAAAGCUAAAUAUUGGCGAGAGACCGAUAGCGCACAAGUAGAGUGAUCGAAAGAUGAAAAGCACUUUGAAAAGAGAGUUAAAAAGUACGUGAAAUUGUUGAAAGGGAAGCGCUUGAGACCAGACUCGAUCUUUGGUGAUCAUCGGUGCUUCUGUACCGUGCACUCACCAUUGAUUGGGCCAGCAUCGGUUUAGACGGCGGGAUAAAGACCUAAGGAAUGUGGCUCCUCUCGGGGAGUGUUAUAGCCUUGGGUGCAAUGCCGCCAGUCUGGACCGAGGACCGCGCUUCGGCUAGGAUGCUGGCGUAAUGGUCUUCAGCGACCCGUCUUGAAACACGGACCAAGGAGUCUAACAUCUAUGCGAGUGUUCGGGUGGAAAACCCUUGCGCGUAAUGAAAGUGAACGGAGGUGAGAACACUUCGGUGUGCAUCAUCGACCGAUCCUGAUGUCUUCGGAUGGAUUUGAGUAUGAGCAUAGCUGUUGGGACCCGAAAGAUGGUGAACUAUGCCUGAAUAGGGUGAAGCCAGAGGAAACUCUGGUGGAGGCUCGCAGCGGUUCUGACGUGCAAAUCGAUCGUCAAAUUUGGGUAUAGGGGCGAAAGACUAAUCGAACCAUCUAGUAGCUGGUUCCUGCCGAAGUU